CCCUUAGAUGUUCUGGGCAGCACGCGCGCUACAAUGGUCUUCGCAAACGGAUGCAUUCUCGAAGGAGAAUGCCAAUCUUGGAAUCUAUGCCUUGGUCGGGACAGUUGCUUGCAAUUUUUCGACUCGAACCAGGAAUUCCUUGUAAUCGUGAUUCAUCACAUCACGAUGAAUACGUCCCUGCCCUUUGUACACACCGCCCGUCGCUCCUACCGAUCGAAGAGUUAGGUGAAUUGUUUUGAUCGAUAAGAUUUAACUAUGGUCAACUCUCGUUGUGAAAUUCUGUGAAUCUGACUGUUUAGAGGAAGGAAAAGUCGUAACA
rnacentral:rRNA from 1 species